rnacentral:rRNA from 1 species
GGAGCUUGCUUUAUAUAACUUAGCAGCGAACGGGUGAGUAACACGUAGAUAAUCUAUCCUAUACUGGGGGAUAGCCCGAUGAAAGUUGGAUUAAUACCGCAUAUAGCUAUAUAGUUGCAUGAUUAUGUAGUGAAAGAUUUAUUGGUAUAGGAGGAGUCUGCGGCACAUUAGCUAGUAGGUGAGGUAAAGGCUUACCUAGGCGACGAUGUGUAGCCGGUCUGAGAGGAUGAACGGCCACAAUGGAACUGAGACACGGUCCAUACUCCUACGGGAGGCAGCAGUGGGGAAUAUUGCACAAUGGGGGAAACCCUGAUGCAGCAACGCCGCGUGAGUGAAGAAGGUUUUCGGAUUGUAAAGCUCUGUUAGCAGGGAAGAGGAAGGACGGUACCUGCAGAGGAAGCCACGGCUAACUACGUGCCAGCAGCCGCGGUAAUACGUAGGUGGCAAGCGUUGUUCGGAAUAACUGGGCGUAAAGGAUGCGUAGGCGGUUAAACAAGUUAUAUGUUAAAUAUAUAGGCUUAACCUGUAGAAAGCAUAUAAAACUGUUUAACUAGAGUGCAGGAGAGGUAAGUGGAAUUCCUAGUGUAGCGGUGAAAUGCGUAGAGAUUAGGAAGAACACCAGUGGCGAAGGCGACUUACUGGACUGUAACUGACGCUGAGGCAUGAGAGCAUGGGGAGCAAACAGGAUUAGAUACCCUGGUAGUCCAUGCUGUAAACGAUGGGUACUAGGUGUGGGUUGUGAAUAACAAUUCGUGCCGUCGCNAACGCAAUAAGUACCCCGCCUGAGGAGUACGANCGCAAGAUUAAAACUCAAAGGAAUUGA